rnacentral:lncRNA from 1 species
GGCUAGUUGAAAUCAUGAAAAGGAUGUUUGUGUUAUUGCUGUUUGGUACUUAAUUUGAUACGGCAACCUGUCAAAAUUAUACAAAUAAUUUGUAUUUCAGGAUGACUGGCUGACAUACACAAACAGUAACAAAUCCCUACAAGCUUUUUUUUUUUCAUUGCGUGAUCUUCACUGUUCCGACGGAGACUCUUUUUCAGAUUCCCGAUAGGUUGUCUUUUCAGUUCUUGUUCAGACUACUUUUGCAGUACCUUUCUCCUUCCCUGUUUCAUUUUAGUCACUAUAGGGCUGAAAUUUGAAAAAAAUAUGAAGUUGCUGCUUUAAAAAAAAAAAAACCCAGCUCAGGUUGAAGCAAUCAAGGCACAGCCAAUGAGGAACCGCGCUUAGCUACUAUAAAGGGGAAAUGCCUGCCCACCCAUGAAGGGAGUUUGCAGCAAGAGUUCUGGACAGAGCUGUGUUGAUGCAUCUUCUUUGUAUGCUUCGGUCUUUAAAACAAGAGCAAAGAAACUUUGGAGGUGUGGGGAACUCAUCACCUGCAAUUAUCACAAUCAUCUCUGCUUGUAACCCUUCCUUCUCAAAGAGCUGGAAACAGAAACAUGAAGAAAGCAUUCUGAAGCAUUGGUGGAGUAGCCUGGCUUGUUGAAUGAAGUACAUAAAAUCCAUGCUUCUAUCUCGAUACUGAAAGGUGUCCCUCACUUCAGUUCUCAUUCUGUAACACUGAAGGACAGUGGGAGGCAACCUGUUACAUCUUUUUCAGACCAUCCAUGCAGCAUUGUCUUGAGAACAACUUGAACAUUUCGUUCCUGUUAUCUGUGUCGAAAUCUCCAGAUCACCCCAAACCUCAUAUACUUGCAUAAAAUAAGUGGUGACAGAAGGAAGAGACUGAGAAUUCAGGUGGAGAGAAGAGAGGCAGUUCUUUAGAGUGAGAGAUACGGUUCUAUGGCCAGUGUGAAAAAAAAAAAAAAAACAAAACAAAAAACAGAGAGAAAAUAAAAUUUUCCUCCUAUCUCUGUUCCACUCUCAUUUUAAUACAUCUUCAGACUAAAGCAGUGACAUCUCAUUUUCGACUGAAGACGUUUGGAAAUGGAUCUCCUAAAAAGAUGUCAGCAAACAGGCAAAUAAACACAGAAUGCAUAUCUAAGCUACUGGAUGUUUACAAAAGGUACUGCAGAAGGGAAAAUGUACCAGAUGAAAUGGAAAUUAUUUCAUGAAUCACCUCACGAUUUCACAGAAAUAAGGGAAGUAUUAUUACUGAUUAUUCUCCAUAAAACAAGUUUAAAAACAUACCAUCGUCUAAAAAGGAAAAGUGAAAGGUUUCUAAAUUGGAUAUUUCAAUAUUGCUAAUGAGAACGAAGUGAGCUGAUGAAUGUUGAAUCAUUCCUUGACAGUUUUUAAACAAAUAUUAUCAUUCAUUCUCUUUCCUGCAUCGACAGAUGAUGUUUCUUGUUCAAAUGAGGCUUCCUGACUUUUGAUAAAGGCUGCUGAAAAUAGCACUCCCCUUCCCAAGCUGUAUAUUCACCUCUAGCAUAUACUGACAUACUGACAGGGAAUGAAAAUUUGGGAUGCUCUGCAGUGUUCUGCCCUUUCAUGAAGGGUUUGUCUUGUGUGUGAAGUAUGAUGUACACCAUGGUAUCACUAUAUCACAUUACCCGGUGAUGAAUUUAGAAGCUGCCACUGCUGUCUAAUUCAGCAAUCCAUUUUGAAAUUGAGUAGCCUCUUCUCUCCCUUAAAAGUAGGGCAUCAUUAAAUUAAAGUAACCUAUUGUGUGCAGCAGACUAGGCAAGAAGUGGGUGAUGUUCUCCUGCCUUCAGCUGUCUGUCCCUGCCUGCUGGCUGCUUUCAAAUGGAGGAGACAAGUCUGAUGGGCUGCUUAAACUCGUUCCUUCACUUCCCUCCAUUCUUAGCCUCCACAGAGGGCAGACUUGGGACUGUAAAGAACAGCUGCUUACCUCACUGAUGCUUUAUAUACUGAUUUAAGUGUGUAUAUGCUCACUUUUAUAUCUUGUUUAUUCAUUACUGUGGAAGGCUAUAGGAAGUUGGAGGUGAGGAGAUGCUUUCCUGCAGGGGGAAAGUUGCAAGGUACAAGACUGAAAAUGGAUUUUGGAUUUGUGGAGCAGGCUGUGUGUAAGCAAAUGCACUUGGAUUCCGUGCUGGCUUUCUCCCGUUACACAGUUUUUGCAUUGUUCUUGAUCAAAAUGGAUGGAAAAUACUGAGGGUGUUCACUUGGUUUUGCUAUAAUUGCUAUAAACAUUCUAAAUAGUGCUUUGGUUAAUAGUCAGAAGGACAAAUGGGAAGGAAGCCAUCAGGUGGGUAGUCAGGUAGAGACACUUUGUUUGCGUUUACUGUAAGAGCACAUUGGAAAUAUUGUUAAUUUAACAUCAACCAUCUAAAGAUAGCACCAAUUCUAAUUUCAUCAGCAGGUGAGUGUGAAAAAUCGGCCAAUGUUUUCAAUGUAGAAGUGGAAAAAUAAAAAAAUAGAAAGCCAGUUAUGUAUUAAUUGUGAUAGAGCACUAUCUGAAUUUGAAGAGCUAGAAAUUCUGCCCAUUUCAUCGAGACUUGACCUAACAUUUCCCACUGCGAGUAGAAAAUAUUGAUAUAAUGCAUAGGAAUCAUUCUGUUUGUGGUGGGUUUUUGUGGUUGUUUGUCCUUUUCUUUCUUUCUUUUUUUUUACUAGCCGUUGCCCAUAUGGCCAGUUAAUUAUCCUUCUGCAGGCAGAAUUAUUUUAUUUAAUGAAUUUUUAAAUGUCAGUGACGUGAAAAACCAUUACUGUGGUUGUAAGUCCAUUACUCACCUUCAGCUUCUAUUUCCCAUCACCCCCCACUUUAGCUUUAAGGAGCAUCUGAAGUGACAGAGCUUUGAUUUCAGUUGAGAGUGCUGAGCACAGAAGUCUUACAAGUAAUACAUUAUUAAAAAAUCGUAGCAAGAAAAUUAAUUUCUACUAUCGUAUGCCAUGCUGGGUAUAUCACUUCUAACAAAUGACCUUUUUUUUUCAUAUAUUCAUUGGUAGAUUUACCAGGACAAAAUAAUUACUUUGUUUUCCACCUCUAAGAAAAAAAAAAAAGUCUUUUUCUUGUGCGUGUGUGGUUUUCUUGUUUUGUUUUUAAUUGAAAUAAGUACACAAAAUGGGUUCUAUAAGAUAAAAAGAAAAAGGAAAGAAAAAAGAAGGAACUGGAAAACCACACAGAAAUGAGGCACUGGCUCCCUGUCAUGUUGUCUGGUCAGUAAUAUUUCUUACUGUGAAAUUCCUGCAUGUUCGCAUGUUCAUGUUUAAAUCCUCCCAGAGAGAUUUUGCAUUGGAUCCUAGUUGAACUCAAGAAGGUAGAUGGUUAUGCGGUUUCUCAUAUUUCUUGCUUUUGAGAGGAACGUCUGUUUAUCCAGAGAGCCUUAUCUGGGCUUGGCGACGAGCACAUUCCGCAGCCAGAAGAAGGACCAGACAGCUAUACUCUGGACCACCUCAUUUCAGAAUUCUGCUUGAAGCACACUAAAGACUUCAGUGAGACUUUCUGACAGCGUGUGGUAAUGAAACUACCCCAUAAGGAGAUGAAAAACAAGAUAUACUCAAUGGGAGGAGCACAUGCUUGUACUUAAAUUCUUCUGUUUCUCCUUCAGUCAGAUGGGCAAAGGAAAAUGCUGUCCUAUCCCAAGAAAUGCAAAGGCAUAAUCAAGUAUGUCUGUGCCUCUCUUGCCAUUUUGAUAUUGGGAACUCAUCCAGCUGUGAACCAAUAGUCUUAUAUGGAAGAUCAGAACUGCUGCUCCUUCGCUUCUUGAUGUAGGAUCUCUCUAUACACAAGCACUGUGCGCGAGUCUUCCCCUUAAAACUUUGAGCACUGCAUAAAUUCUGCUGGUCAAGAGGCUCAGACUGUGAUUUCAAAAGGGUCAAGUCUCGGCUGUCCUUCCAUUUGGAUCAGGACUAUAACUGCCUGUGAACUGUUCUAGUCAGUAUCAUUCUGAAACAAAGCGAUGUGCUUAAAUGGUCUGUGAAGACCAAUCAUCCCUUGAGUACAACUUGAUGGACAUUGUUUCUGCAAAAACAAUGAAAUAGCCAUCAGUGAGCAAGCAGAACAGAGCUGGAUGGUGAACCGUACGCAGACUUACCUCUUGUUCUCCAAAGGUGAGAGGGCAGAAUUUGAAAUAUGAAAACAUCACCAGCAGAAAAAUGCUCCAUUCAUACGUAGAUGACACCCGCAGAUGAAAUAAUCUCUUCUCUCUGCAUUAUUGCAAAGUCAAACACAAACUUUAAGUAGGAAAUGCAUAUGUGACUGUAGUUGUGUUAGUCAGCGUUCUCCUUCGAUGGCAUUGGAAAACGUGUAAUUUGAUUCAAUUGUACCGUUAUCAUGAACAGUGGAAUACUACAUGCAGUACAGUCAUCAACUAGGAAAAUACAAGGCGUAAAGCAGUCAUCACUGACAGAAC